GUGUUGGUGGUGUAGUGGUUAGCAGAGCUGCCAUCUAAGCAGUAGGCAUGGAUUCAAUUCCCAGCCAACACA
rnacentral:tRNA from 1 species